rnacentral:rRNA from 11 species
CUCUACAGCUGAACUCUGUUUUGUUCCUCAAUCUUCAUGGCACCAGAUGCCACCUGAUCUUGGAAGAUAAGUAAGAUCAGUUCUGGUUUGUCCUUGGAUGGGAGACCACUAACAAAUACCAGGUGCUGUGGGCU